UACAGAGGGUGCUAGCGUUGUUCGGAAUCAUUGGGCGUAAAGGGCGUGUAGGCGGUUUGUUAAGUCAUGUGUGAAAUCCCUCGGCUCAACCGGGGAAGGACGCAUGAAACUGGCAAGCUAGAGUACCAAAGAGGGGGGUGGAAUUCCCGGUGUAGCGGUGAAAUGCGUAGAUAUCGGGAAGAACACCGGUGGCGAAGGCGGCUCUCUGGACCUGUCCUGACGCUCAGGCGCGAAAGCUAGGGGAGCGAACAGG
rnacentral:rRNA from 1 species